CCUACGGGGGGCAGCAGUGGGGAAUAUUGCGCAAUGGGCGAAAGCCUGACGCAGCGACGCCGCGUGAGGGAUGAAGGUCUUCGGAUCGUAAACCUCUGUCAGCAGGGAAGAACGGUCACUGUGCUAAUCAGCAGUGAAUUGACGGUACCUGCAAAGGAAGCACCGGCUAACUCCGUGCCAGCAGCCGCGGUAAUACGGAGGGUGCGAGCGUUAAUCGGAAUUACUGGGCGUAAAGCGCUCGUAGGCGGUAUGUCAAGUCAAGGGUGAAAGCCCCGCGCUCAACGUGGGAACUGCCUUUGAAACUGGCAAACUGGAGUGUGUGGGAGGAUAGUGGAAUUCCAGGUGUAGGAGUGAAAUCCGUAGAUAUCUGGAGGAACAUCAGUGGCGAAGGCGACUAUCUGGCACAUAACUGACGCUGAGGAGCGAAAGCGUGGGUAGCAAACAGGAUUAGAUACCCGGGUAGUC
rnacentral:rRNA from 1 species